rnacentral:tRNA from 1 species
UUAUAACAAGGUGUUUAGUGCAUUUUAUUUUUUGGUGAUAAAGGAGAUUAGUUUCUGUUAUAAA